rnacentral:tmRNA from 1 species
GGGGGUGAACGGUUUCGACUCCGUGAGUUGACCCAAGGGAAGCGUGCCGGUGCAGGCGGCAGACCACCGUUAAGCGUCGCCGUGAACAAAUAAGCGCCGACAAGAAGAGUCAGCGCGAGUUCGCUCUCGCUGCCUGAUCAGCGAGUAGCGACUCUGUCGGACCGGGAGUGCCUCCGACCCGGAAUCCGGCAUCAGCGAGGAGGCUCACCGGUGAGUCCGGUCGCGGGACUCAUCGGGACAUCGAACAGCGACUGGGCCCGUCACACCGGCUUGUCCGCGUGACCGGUGGGGCCGAGUAGAGGCAAAGCGGACUGCGCACGGAGAAGCCUUGGUGAGACCACGGAGGACCCGGGUUCGAUUCCCGGCACCUCCACCA